GGAGGUUAACAGUCGCACUACCAGUUCACUACAGUUCAAUCGCUCGACACCAUAACCGACGGUUGCAUCCUUUACUGGUUUGAUUCAAACUAUCAUUGGUAUGCCUCCUCCUUCCGUGCAUAAACACCCAGGGAUAAAUUCAUCUACGGGGUCAAAAAUAGGUCUUGGAUUAAUGCAUAUUCAGAACUUGGGACCAAGAAAAAGUCCACAAUUGCGGAGUAAUGCAUUAUUGGCAGAAAUAGAGAAGUAGCUAUAAUUAUUAAAAACGCCAAGAACCUUCACUAAAUGUUUUGGUGGCAGAAAUAGAGUAAUAUAGGAACCUGUUUAAAAAACUUCUAAUCUGAUUUGGUGGCAACUCUUGCUGCAACGACAAGUGCCCAUGCAUCUGAUAAAAUAUAAACCUUAUAGUUAAUUUACAGGCGUGGGAUGAAACAUAUUAUUGUGAGCAUUUGUAAUAGAUAUAUCCAUUUGCACGCAUGUAUGCCAACUAAAACUUCUGUGAAGAGCACACAUCAUAUGUCUGGCACCAAAAUCAGGGUACUUGUUGAUUUUUCAAUCUGCACGGCACCAAAGGGGAAUUGUGCGUGCAACACCUAUCAGUUUCCUUGUGCUGCUAAUUACUAAAGAAUAGGACACGUGACUACGGUAGUGUUUGGCAGAACUGGAGAUAGUUUCUUUCAAUUAGCUGCCAGAACAUGUAGGCCCUACAUAUGAAAAAGUUGCGGAAAAGAACAAAAAGCUAAUUCUUUGGAUUACAAAGUGAGAAGACAAUUUCUAGCUAUGGUACAAUAUGUGGCCGACAGCAAGAUUUACCCUCGGUGCAAGGUCGCUAUUCACUGCGUAUUCGCCUGGCCGGGAGGACUAUUGAAAUAGCUAUAAUGAAUCCUACAUCCAAGCAGAAUAUUGGGCACCAAGAUUUUUGGAAGAACGCAUCAACAAUGAAAAAGAUACUAAUAGGAUUUAUAAUAUAGCUUGAUUGCUAUGUCUAUAUGGUCGCAUUUAAAAUAAAAAGUGUAGUGUAUAACCCACUAAUCAUGCAUAAGACACAAGCUGCUUGAAAAACAGAGGACCCGAAUUGCUUCCAGGAUACAAACCAUUGGAGUCAUAAGAGAUGAUAUAUUAUGUAUGUGCCUGAUGUCUGAAUCUUAGAACAGCAAGUAGAAACUUCCUUUUACCCAUUUGGAGCACAGCCUGUAAGGCUACCAUCUACAAAACCUAAAAAAC
rnacentral:lncRNA from 1 species